GGCAAGAUGGCCGAGCGGUCUAAGGCGCUACGUUCAGGUCUUUGAACCACCUUCGUAGUCCGAAAGGGCGUGGGUUCGAAUCCCACUCUUGUCA